rnacentral:rRNA from 1 species
UGAGGAAUAUUGCGCAAUGGGCGAAAGCCUGACGCAGCGACGCCGCGUGGAGGAUGACGGCCUUCGGGUUGUAAACUCCUGUUAGGUGGGAAGAAAUCCCCAACUCUAAUACGGUUGGGGGAUGACGGUACCAUCAGAGAAAGCACCGGCUAACUUCGUGCCAGCAGCCGCGGUAAUACGAGGGGUGCUAGCGUUAUUCGGAAUUACUGGGCGUAAAGGGUGUGUAGACGGCAUGUUAAGUCGACUGUUAAAUACUUCGGCCCAACCGGAGAGAUGCGGUCGAAACUGGUGUGCUAGAGGGUGGAAGAGAGAAGUGGAAUUCUCGGAGUAGCGGUAAAAUGCGUAGAUCUCGAGAGGAACACCGAUGGCGAAGGCAGCUUCUUGGUCCAUUCCUGACGUUGAAACACGAAAGCGUGGGGAGCAAACA